AGUGAACGCUGGCGGUAGGCCUAACACAUGCAAGUCGAACGGCGGCACAGUAAGAGCUUGCUCUUACGGGUGGCGAGUGGCGGACGGGUGAGGAAUACAUCGGAAUCUACUUUUUCGUGGGGGAUAACGUAGGGAAACUUACGCUAAUACCGCAUACGACCUACGGGUGAAAGCAGGGGAUCUUCGGACCUUGCGCGAUUGAAUGAGCCGAUGUCGGAUUAGCUAGUUGGGGGGGUAAAGGCCCACCAAGGCGACGAUCCGUAGCUGGUCUGAGAGGAUGAUCAGCCACACUGGAACUGAGACACGGUCCAGACUCCUACGGGAGGCAGCAGUGGGGAAUAUUGGACAAUGGGCGCAAGCCUGAUCCAGCCAUACCGCGUGGGUGAAGAAGGCCUUCGGGUUGUAAAGCCCUUUUGUUGGGAAAGAAAAGCAGCAGGUUAAUACCCCGCUGUUCUGACGGUACCCAAAGAAUAAGCACCGGCUAACUUCGUG
rnacentral:rRNA from 1 species